rnacentral:rRNA from 1 species
AACCUCCGCAAUGUGAGAAAUCGCGACGGGGGGAUCCCAAGUGCCAUUCUUAACGGGAUGGCUUUUCAUUAGUGUAAAGAGCUUUUGGAAUAAGGGCUGGGCAAGACCGGUGCCAGCCGCCGCGGUAACACCGGCAGCUCUAGUGGUAGCAGUUUUUAUUGGGCCUAAAGCGUCCGUAGCCGGUUUAAUAAGUCUCUGGUGAAAUCCUGUAGCUUAACUGUGGGAAUUGCUGGAAAUACUAUUAGACUUGAGACCGGGAGAGGUUAGAGGUACUCCCAGGGUAGAGGUGAAAUUCUGUAAUCCUGGGAGGACCGCCUGUUGCGAAGGCGUCUAACUGGAACGGUUCUGACGGUGAGGGACGAAAGUUAGGGGCGCGAACCGGAUUUAGAUACCCGGGUAGUCCUAACUGUAAACGAUGCGGACUUGGUGUUGGGGUGGCUUUGAGCUGCUCCAGUGCCGAAGGGAAGCUGUUAAGUCCGCCGCCUGGGAAGUACGGUCGCAAGACUGAAACUUAAAGGAAUU